GAUUGCAGGCUGCAACUCGCCUGCAUGAAGUUGGAAUUGCUAGUAAUCGUGGAUCAGCAUGCCACGGUGAAUACGUUCCCGGGCCUUGUACACACCGCCCGUCACACCAUGAGAGUCGGGAACACCCGAAGUCCGUAGUCUAACCGCAAGGAGGACGCGGCCGAAGGUGGGUCUGAUAAUUGGGGUGAAGUCGUAACAAGGUAAC
rnacentral:rRNA from 1 species